rnacentral:rRNA from 1 species
CAUGCCGCGUGAAGGAUGACGGCCCUAUGGGUUGUAAACUCCUGUCAGCAGGGAGGAAAGACAGUUUAGUUAACACCUGAACUGUUUGACAGUACCUGCAGAGGAAGUCACGGCUAACUCUGUGCCAGCAGCCGCGGUAAUACAGAGGUGGCGAACGUUGUUCGGAUUUACUGGGCGUAAAGGGUCCGCAGGCGUUUUAAUAAGUUGAAUGUUAAAUAUCUUAGCUUAACUAAGAAAAUGCAUUCAAAACUGUUAAAAUAGAGUUUGAGAGAGGAACGCAGAAUUCAUGGUGGAGCGGUGACAUGCAUAGAUAUCAUGAGGAAAGUCAAAUGCGAAGGCAGCCUUCUGGCUCAAAACUGACGCUGAGGGACGAAAGCGUGGGGAGCGAACAGGAUUAGAUACCCUGGUAGUCCACGCCGUAAACGAUGAGUAUUUGGUGCUGGGGGAUUCGACCCUUUCAGUGCCGUAGCUAACGCGAUAAAUACUCCGCCUGGGGACUACGAUCGCAAGAUUGAAACUCAAAGGAAUUGACGGA